rnacentral:rRNA from 1 species
GACGAACGCUGGCGGCGUGCUUAACACAUGCAAGUCGAACGGUAAGGCUCCAGCUUGCUGGGGUACACGAGUGGCGAACGGGUGAGUAACACGUGGGUGACCUGCCCUGCACUUCGGGAUAAGCCUGGGAAACUGGGUCUAAUACCGGAUAGGACCGCACCGUGAGGGUGUGGUGGAAAGUUUUUUCGGUGUGGGAUGGGCCCGCGGCCUAUCAGCUUGUUGGUGGGGUAAUGGCCUACCAAGGCGGCGACGGGUAGCCGGCCUGAGAGGGUGGACGGCCACAUUGGGACUGAGACACGGCCCAGACUCCUACGGGAGGCAGCAGUGGGGAAUAUUGCACAAUGGGCGGAAGCCUGAUGCAGCGACGCCGCGUGGGGGAUGACGGCCUUCGGGUUGUAAACUCCUUUCACCAUCGACGAAGGGUUUCUGACGGUAGAUGGAGAAGAAGCACCGGCUAACUACGUGCCAGCAGCCGCGGUAAUACGUAGGGUGCGAGCGUUGUCCGGAAUUACUGGGCGUAAAGAGCUCGUAGGUGGUUUGUCGCGUCGUCUGUGAAAUUCCGGGGCUUAACUCCGGGCGUGCAGGCGAUACGGGCAUAACUUGAGUACUGUAGGGGAGACUGGAAUUCCUGGUGUAGCGGUGAAAUGCGCAGAUAUCAGGAGGAACACCGGUGGCGAAGGCGGGUCUCUGGGCAGUAACUGACGCUGAGGAGCGAAAGCAUGGGGAGCGAACAGGAUUAGAUACCCUGGUAGUCCAUGCCGUAAACGGUGGGCGCUAGGUGUGGGUUUCCUUCCACGGGAUCCGUGCCGUAGCUAACGCAUUAAGCGCCCCGCCUGGGGAGUACGGCCGCAAGGCUAAAACUCAAAGGAAUUGACGGGGGCCCGCACAAGCGGCGGAGCAUGUGGAUUAAUUCGAUGCAACGCGAAGAACCUUACCUGGGCUUGACAUAUACAGGAUCGCGCCAGAGAUGGUGUUUCCCUUGUGGCUUGUAUACAGGUGGUGCAUGGUUGUCGUCAGCUCGUGUCAUGAGAUGUUGGGUUAAGUCCCGCAACGAGCGCAACCCUUGUCUUAUGUUGCCAGCACGUUGUGGUGGGGACUCGUAAGAAACUGCUGGGGUUAACUCGGAGGAAGGUGGGGAUGACGUCAAAUCAUCAUGCCCCUUAUGUCCAGGGCUUCGCACAUGCUACAAUGGUCGGUACAGUGGGUUGCCAGUCCGUGAGGGCGAGCUAAUCCCGCAAAGCCGGUCUCAGUUCGGAUCGGGGUCUGCAACUCGACCCCGUGAAGUCGGAGUCGCUAGUAAUCGCAGAUCAGCAACGCUGCGGUGAAUACGUUCCCGGGCCU